UAUUGUAAUUUUCAGCUCAAAUUUUAUAGAUUAUUUCUUCAAUUGAGUCUCACAGACUAAGUAAUUAUAUUGAUUGAAUGAUAAUGUGCGUUGAUGUAGCAGUAACACGUUAGUAUUGUAAUUGAUGAUGUGAUAACAACUAAGAUGUAGCAUCUCAGCAUCUAGUCAACUGAUUUGAACCAAUGGAUUUGAUUGCAACAUUCUAAAAAGCUCAAGCUAAAAAUAUGUCAGUUUAGGAACCAAAGAU
rnacentral:lncRNA from 1 species